rnacentral:rRNA from 1 species
CAAAAACAUAGCUAGAUGUAAUUAUAUUUAGUGCUUCCUGCUCAAUGAUAUGUUUAAUAGCCGCAGUACCUUGACUGUGCAAAGGUAGCAUAAUCAAUUGGCUUAUAAUUGAAGUCUAGAAUGAAAGGAUAUACGAGUAGUUACUGUAUCUGAUAUUUACUGCAAAAUUAAUUUUCAAGUGCAAAUACUUGUAAAUAAUUGUUAGACGAGAAGACCCUAGAAAUUUAUAUUAAUGUUUCGUUGGGGCAACGUAGUAGAAAAACCUACAGUUAAAGACAAGAAAAAAAUUUGAGAGAAAAAAUUACUCUAGGGAUAACAGCAUAAUUUAUAAAAGUUUGUGACCUCGAUGUUGGAUUUGGGAACUAUAGUUCAGAAGACCCUUAGUACCGCUCUGUUCGAGCAUAAUACCUAACGUGAU